AACGCACAUUGCACCCUCUGGUAUUCCGGAGGGUAUGCCUGUUUGAGUGUCAUUAAUAUCUCAACACAGACAGGUUUACAACCUGUUUCUGAUUGCUUGGAUGUUGAAGGUUUGCUGGUGAAACACUGUUUUUCCAGCUCCUUUUAAAAGCAUUAGCAGAAUACAAUGCAACAUAAUCUAGCUUCAGUCUGAUAAAGCACUUGGCUGUUUUUUUUUGCUGUUGCUAGUGGAAUGGUAUUGUGUCGGCUUCUAACUGUCCAUAUAAAUUGGACUGUCUCUUCAGAGGCAUAUAAAUUUGACACUUGACCUCAAAUCAGGUAGGACUACCCGCUGAACUUAA
rnacentral:misc_RNA from 1 species